AACGGUCUAUACCUGCGGUACCUGCGGAAGGAUCAUUAAAGAGUUGCAAAACUCCCUACACCUUCGCGAACGUUACCCUUACCGUUGCUUCGGCGGGCGGCUCCUCCCUCCCCCUUAGGGGGGGGGGAGGAUCGCCCCUCGGCCCCUCUUCGUAGGGGUGCCCGCCGGAGGUAACCCCAAACUCUUGAUAGUUUUAUACGGCCACUCUGAGUAUUUCUGUACUGAAUAAGUCAAAACUUU
rnacentral:misc_RNA from 1 species